rnacentral:rRNA from 1 species
GAUGAACGCUGGCGGCGUGCCUAAUACAUGCAAGUCGAGCGAACAGACGAGGAGCUUGCUCCUCUGACGUUAGCGGCGGACGGGUGAGUAACACGUGGAUAACCUACCUAUAAGACUGGGAUAACUUCGGGAAACCGGAGCUAAUACCGGAUAAUAUAUUGAACCGCAUGGUUCAAUAGUGAAAGACGGUUUUGCUGUCACUUAUAGAUGGAUCCGCGCCGCAUUAGCUAGUUGGUAAGGUAACGGCUUACCAAGGCGACGAUGCGUAGCCGACCUGAGAGGGAGAUCGGCCACACUGGAACUGAGACACGGUCCAGACUCCUACGGGAGGCAGCAGUAGGGAAUCUUCCGCAAUGGGCGAAAGCUUGACGGAGCAACGCCGCGUGAGUGAUGAAGGUCUUCGGAUCGUAAAACUCUGUUAUUAGGGAAGAACAAAUGUGUAAGUAACUAUGCACGUCUUGACGGUACCUAAUCAGAAAGCCACGGCUAACUACGUG